GUGUGAAGUGCCUCACUCCCUCUUUGACUUCUGCUGUGAUUGGAACCUUCCUGAGGCCUCCCCAGAAGAAGAAGCUGCUAUGCUUUCGGAUCAUAGGCAGAAGGAAUUUGCCUUGUAUCAGAUGAGACUUUGGAUUUUGGACUUUUCUGUUAAUGCUGGAAUGAUUUAAGACUCUGUGGACUGUUGGGAAGGCAUGAUUUUAUGUUGAAACAUGAGACCAACAUGAGAUUUUGGAGGGGUUGGGGCAAAACAAUAUGGUUUGAAUCUGUGUCUCUGCCUAAAUAUCAUCUUCAAUUGUCACACCUGGUGUUGGAUGUGGGGCCUGGUGGGAGAUGAUUGGAUCAUGAGGUUGGUUGCUCAUGGUUUAACACCAUCUCCCUUGGUGACAUUCUCAUGAUAGUGAGUUCUUGUAAGAUCUGCUCAUUUAAAAGUGCGUGUCACCUCCUUGCCCUGUUUCUCUUCCUCCUGCUCCUGCCAUGUAAAGUGCCUUGUUCCCUCUUUGCCUUUGGCCAUUCUUGGUAGCUUCCUGAGACCUCCCCAGAGACAGAAGCCACUGUGCUUCCCGAACAGCCUGGAGAAUCAUAAGUCAACUAAGCCUUUUUAUAAAUUAUCGAGUCUCAGGUAUUUCUUUAUAGGAGUGUGAGAAUGUACUAAUACACUUGCAUUUGAAAAUGAAGGUAACCAUGAAAACAUAUAUAGCAGUGUUCUUUACAGUAAUAAAAUCUGAAAAUAGCACCAAUUUACAUUAGUGGGAGAAUGCAAAAUAAAGUACAUUAAAAUCGCACAAUAGAAUUUUAUAUAGUAGUCAAAAUCAAUGAAAUUAAACUUUCAGAGAAAGUAGAUAAAAUUGCAGUAAUAUAAUGUUUAUUUUAAAAACAUAUCAACAUGUAAAUUACUGUAAAUCUCAAAACCAAGCGAAACGAAUCAACUUGUCAUUUAAGGAUAUAUGUAGAUAAAUCAGGGACAAUUGUUUUAAGGAAUAAAAAAUGAAUCAAUAACAUAACAUUUAGGGAAAUGUGUAACUUCAAGGUAAGCAAGUGGAUGUUGUGUCAAACCUAGAGAGCUGUGCACCAGAAUCUGUUGUUCUCUUUUUCAAGGUCAUAAGACUAGACAACCUGGCAGAGAUGACUUAUGAGUGGAUAUGAGACCAACUGCUAUUCAGGAGAAUGUAAAUGAAAGUGAUAUGUGAAAUUUAAAAUAUAUACUGAAGAUAGUAUGAAAGAUUUCACAUUUUUUCUUCAUUCCACAUUGCAAUCUUGAAUUAUAACAACUUCAACCAUGGAAAUAAGAGUCAAAGCUGUGAAUAGGAGGACAUUAUAGAAGAAUCAGAGUCUACAAAGACCACUAGUUCACUGAUUUACGAGGCUCACCUUGAACUAUUACUAGGGAUUUAAAAAAUUAUCUUUUUUCAACCACUAAAAUAGUUAUUGUUUUGUCUUUUUUAUGGCAGUCUAAUCUUGUCAUAGCUAAUAUAGAUGGGAUAGCAAACAGUUAGUUGUAACAGAUUUGGUAAUUUGUAAUACUCAUUUGGCUUGGUUGGUAAAUAAGUAUUAAUUAUGUUUGUAACUUUAAGUUAUUAAUUUAUUAAUUGCAUAUAUUUCUUUACAUGUGACACACAUUAUAUCAAAUUCAUAUCUUGAAUUUCCAAGAUAUCCAACUUUGGAAGCAAUGUGUUGAAUUCAUCCAUAUAGACAACCAUAAUAUAAACAACAUAAUUGUAUUUCAUUUUCAUUGAUUUCAUACAUAUAAGAAAGCACUGUAGGAGGUUUACUCUAUGUUGAUACUCCAGUGGACAGAGGUUCUACCACAUUAGAGCUUUUUAAUUGAACCAUACAACUCUCUUGGUUGCCUCAACAAGUAAGGAAAGGGCAGGAAGGAAUGGGCAAGCCUCAUUCCAAAUAGCCAUGGAUAUUGCUAAUUCUUAUUUUCAAGAGGAUCUAUUCUUGGACUCUCACGUAUCCCACAUAAUUGUUGAAUUUCCAUUUUCAAAAUAAUAUGGACACAUAUAGUUUAUAAAUUAUGAAGUCCAAAUAUCUUUUGGAGUAAAAAUUCAAAAUAGCAUUUUUUUCCUAGUACAUGACCUUAUUGUUUGAUUUGCAUAAUAUACUGAUGUGAUUAUUUUGUUCAUAAAAUGGCACUCUUUGGUGAAAUACUAAAAUAUUUUAGUUGCUGAGGGCUAAUAAGAAAAGAACAAGUAUGAUGUUAAUUUACAAAUAAGAUAAUUACAUCAAAUGAAGGCUAAGUGCGGUAAUAAUUUUCUAUACAGAAAAGAGAAAUGUGUUAUAAGUCAAAGAGAAAAAUAACAGAAGAAUAUAAUUAUGAAAUGUAACAGUAAUGUAAACAUGCCAAAAAUAUAAUAGAAGCUAAAUCGUGGUAGGUGAUAUGAUAUUUCUCACUAAAAUGCCACGUAGUACUUUUUUGUAUACCAAUGUUUUUUAACAGCAAUUCUCUCACAUUGCAAUAAAGAUGCAAUGAGGUUCAUAUUAAGUGCAUUUUUAUUAUGUUUCAGUGUAACAUUUUGGAGCAAAUUAUUACACUAAAUGACCGAGAAAAGUAAUAGACUUGUUGUUUGAAAUUAUAUCAUUAUAAAAUUAGGAAAAAAAUGAUGUGAAUGAAUAUGAAAAUGACUAAAAUAAAUUACUCCAAAUAAAGCAAGACUAAUCAAGCAAACAAAGACUAUCACAUAUCUAUUAAUGUAGUUCAUUUGUAUUUAUUUAGUUUUAUAGUUUGCCAUUGCUAAUUUUUAAAUGUUGUAUUUUAAGAAAAUCAUAAUACUAAUAAAUUUACACUGGGGUUUUAUUUGUCAUAUUCACCUGGGCAUGUUUUCCCAUUAUCCCCAUAAUACUAUGCAGCGUUGGGAAACCGAUGCUAGCAUGAAGCUCAAGAUGUCUGUAUUGCCCUGAAAAAUUGCCUGUCUAAAUCCAUUUGGGCUCACUGUCUCUUUACCAGCAAAAUCUAUGGAAGUAUGACAUGCCAGCCUAGCAGCUGUCACUGCACUGCUGCUUAGAACUGCUUAACUGUUUGAUCGGGACUAGUAGCUACUUUUAAUAUGACUAAUAAUGCAUUUGACAUUUACUUUUAAUGAAUAUUAAAAUAUAUCUUAUACAUAAAGUAUUAAUGUUAUAAAUGCCAUUUUCAUUUUGAUAUUUCAAAAUUUAUGUAAUAUUUAUGACUAAACAAAUAAAAUUUAAAAUA
rnacentral:lncRNA from 1 species